CCUCCGGUAUCAGAUCCAAGAUUCAGUUUUAGAUUUCACCCUCGCGCUCGCCUCACUGCCUCCAUCCACAACUCUCUCUUCUCUUUGUUCUCUCUAUUUUCCGUAGCACACGCUCUCUCUCUUCUACAUAGCUCUCCCUUUGUCUCAUCUCUGUAUUUAUCUGGUCUCUCAAUCUCCUUUCCAGACUUCAUUUCAAAACCAAACCUAAAUACCCAAAAUCUCAGCCACAAUCGCGCCCCUUUGCUCUCCUCAAAUCUUACUGUCUGCAUCCACAAAUCGCCCAUUUGCUUUGCCAAACUCUUAUUUCCUCCAUCCACAAAUUGCCACUUUGCUCGCCCUAACUCUCAUUGUCACCUCCUUUUCCUUAUCUCAACUCCAGAACUAAACCCUAAAACUCCCAUCGCCAAUUUACGAAAAACCCAAAUUCACCUUACUUUCUCACACUUAUAUUAUCACAGACGACAAGACAACAAGUGAUUGAUGAUGAGAACCCCCAAUUUCUUUCGUUCAGUUAGCACAAAAUGGCAAAUACAUUCUUGUUGGCACUUUGGAUGAUAAUUUGGUUUUAGAUAACAAGGAUGAUGAAGUGUGAGUCAGCAGAACAAGUGUGACCUUAUUGUCAAUCUUAAAACUUCAAUAAACCAAAAAGUAGGUUAGGGAUACCAGUUUUCGUAGAGAAGGUGCUGACAUUCAUGUAGAUGUUGGUUUGUGUAUCACUCAGAUUGGUAUAACUAGGGAGGCUCCAACCAAAGCAAGACUUGGACUUGUAAUGAGCUUUUCACUUAGAGAUGUUAUGGGGAAAGUAAAGCUUUUCGUUUAUUUUAAAUGCAUUCAAUUUCAAUACUAUUUAAGUAUAUAGUUGUGUUAUUUUAAAUUAUUGUAUAUAAUUGUAUUAUUCUAAUGGAUUUACGAUUUCUUAUCUGUUUUAUAUGUAUUUCUUUUAAUGUUAAAGUCAUUCUUUACAGCUUCUGUUCUGGAGGAGCUGUAUUUUUU